AUUGAACGCUGGCGGCAUGCCUUACACAUGCAAGUCGGACGGUAACAGGUCUUCGGAUGCUGACGAGUGGCGAACGGGUGAGUAAUACAUCGGAACGUGCCUAGUAGUGGGGGAUAACUACUCGAAAGAGUGGCUAAUACCGCAUGAGAUCUACGGAUGAAAGCAGGGGAUCGCAAGACCUUGUGCUACUAGAGCGGCCGAUGGCAGAUUAGGUAGUUGGUGGGAUAAAAGCUUACCAAGCCGACGAUCUGUAGCUGGUCUGAGAGGACGAUCAGCCACACUGGGACUGAGACACGGCCCAGACUCCUACGGGAGGCAGCAGUGGGGAAUUUUGGACAAUGGGCGAAAGCCUGAUCCAGCAACGCCGCGUGCAGGAAGAAGGCCUUCGGGUUGUAAACUGCUUUUGUACGGAACGAAACGGCUCUGGUUAAUACCCGGGGCUAAUGACGGUACCGUAAGAAUAAGCACCGGCUAACUACGUGCCAGCCGCCGCGGUAA
rnacentral:rRNA from 1 species